rnacentral:sRNA from 1 species
CUUUUCUUUCAUUCUUCUGCAAGU